AGACGCGUGGGCAAUCUGCCCCGUACCGGGGGAUAACACCUGGAAACAGGUGCUAACACCGCAUGACAGGCGGGGGCGCAUGCCCCGGCCUUGAAAACUCCGGUGGUACGGGAUGAGCCCGCGUCCGAUUAGCCAGUUGGCGGGGUAACGGCCCACCAAAGCGACGAUCGGUAGCCGGCCUGAGAGGGUGGACGGCCACAUUGGGACUGAGACACGGCCCAAACUCCUACGGAAGGCAGCAG
rnacentral:rRNA from 1 species